rnacentral:rRNA from 1 species
GACGAACGCUGGCGGCGCGCUUAACACAUGCAAGUCGAACGGAAAGGCCUGCUUUCCCUUGUGGCUUGCGGGUACUCGAGUGGCGAACGGGUGAGUAACACGCGUGUGUUCUGCACCCAAAUUGGGUAUAAGCCUGGGAACCUGGGUCUAAUUCCCGAUAGGACUGCAGGGUUGUGUCUGUGGUGGAAAACGUUUUUCUAGUGGUUGGGGAUGAGCUCGCGGCCUAUCAGCUUGUUGGUGGGGUAAUGGCCUACCAAGGCGGUGACGCGUAGCCGGCCUGAGAUGGUGGACGCCCACAUUGAGACUGGGAUCCGGCCCAGACGCCUACGGGAGGCAGCAGUGGGGAAGAUUGCACAAUGGGCGGAAGGCUGAAGCAGCGACGCCGCGUGGGGGAUGACGGCCUUCGGGUUGUAAGCUCCUUUCGACCGCGAAGCAGCCACCUGGUUGGAAGGGUGGUGACGGUAGUGGUAGAAGAAGCCCCGGCUAACUACGUG